rnacentral:tRNA from 1 species
GGGCCCUUAGCUUAGCUGGUAGAGCGCUUCCAUGGCAUGGAAGAGGUCAGGAGUUCGAGUCUCCUAGGGUCCACCA